rnacentral:rRNA from 1 species
GACGAACGCUGGCGGCGUGCUUAACACAUGCAAGUCGAACGGAAAGGCCCUGCUUUUGUGCGGUGCUCGAGUGGCGAACGCGUGAGUAACACGUGAGUAACCUGCCCUUGACUUUGGGAUAACUUCAGGAAACUGGGGCUAAUACCGGAUAGGAGCUCCUGCUGCAUGGUGAGGGUUGGAAAGUCUCGGCGGUUGGGGAUGGACUCGCGGCUUAUCAGCUUGUUGGUGGGGUAGUGGCUUACCCAGCCUUUGACGGGUAGCCGGCCUGAGAGGGUGACCGGCCACAUUGGGCCUGAGAUAGGGCCCAGACUCCUACGGGAGGCAGCGGUGGGGAAUAUUGCACAAUGGGCGGGAGCCUGAUGCGGCAACGCCGCGGUCGGGAUGACGGCCUUCGGGUUGUAAACCGCUUUCGCCUGUGACGAAGCGUGAGUGACGGUAAUGGGUAAAGAAGCACCGGCUAACUACGUG